rnacentral:rRNA from 1 species
UACGAAGGGGGCUAGCGUUGCUCGGAAUCACUGGGCGUAAAGCGCACGUAGGCGGCUUUCUAAGUCAGGGGUGAAAUCCUGGAGCUCAACUCCAGAACUGCCUUUGAUACUGGAGAGCUUGAGUCCGGAAGAGGUGAGUGGAACUCCGAGUGUAGAGGUGAAAUUCGUAGAUAUUCGGAAGAACACCAGAGGCGAAGGCGGCUCACUGGUCCGGUACUGACGCUGAUGUGCGAAAGCGUGGGGAGCAAACAGG